UGCAUAUCAAUAAGCGGAGGAAAAGAAACCAACAGGGAUUGCCCCAGUAGCGGCGAGUGAAGCGGCAAGAGCUCAGAUUUGAAAUCGUGUUUCGGCACGAGUUGUAGAGUGUAGGCGGGAGUGUCUGCGGCGGGCAGUGUCCAAGUCCCUUGGAACAGGGCGCCACUGAGGGUGAGAGCCCCGUGGGAUGCUGCGCAAAGCUUUGAGACCCUGCUGACGAGUCGAGUUGUUUGGGAAUGCAGCUCCAAGCGGGUGGUAAAUUCCAUCUAAGGCUAAAUACUGGCGAGAGACCGAUAGCGAACAAGUACUGUGAAGGAAAGAUGAAAAGCACUUUGAAAAGAGAGUGAAACAGCACGUGAAAUUGUUGAAAGGGAAGGGUAUUGGGCCCGACAUGGGGAGUGCGCACCGUUGCCUCUUGUAGGCGGCGCUCUGGGCGCUCUCUGGGCCAGCAUCGGUUCUUGCUGCAGGAGAAGGGGUGCCGGAACGUGGCUCUUCGGAGUGUUACAGCCGGCGCCAGAUGCUGCGUGCGGGGGACCGAGGGCUGCGACUUAUGUCUCGGAUGCUGGCACAACGGCGCAAUACCGCCCGUCUUGAAACACG
rnacentral:rRNA from 1 species